rnacentral:rRNA from 1 species
UCGAGGAUCUUCGGCAAUGGGCGCAAGCCUGACCGAGCGACGCCGCGUGCGGGAUGAAGGCCUUCGGGUUGUAAACCGCUGUCAGAGGGGAUGAAAUGUAUGAGGGUACUCUCUCAUACUUGACAUAGCCUCAAAGGAAGUACGGGCUAAGUUCGUGCCAGCAGCCGCGGUAAGACGAACCGUACAAACGUUAUUCGGAAUUACUGGGCUUAAAGGGUGCGUAGGCGGCGGUGCAAGUUGGGUGUGAAAUCCCUCGGCUCAACCGAGGAACUGCGCUCAAAACUGCAUCGCUUGAGGGAGAUAGAGGUGAGUGGAACUUAGGGUGGAGCGGUGAAAUGCGUUGAUAUCCUAAGGAACACCAGUGGCGAAAGCGACUCACUGGGUCUCUUCUGACGCUGAGGCACGAAAGCUAGGGUAGCGAACGGGAUUAGAUACCCCCGUAGUCC